rnacentral:tRNA from 1 species
GCCUCUAUAGCUCAGUCAGUACUACGUUGAGUUGUGCUGUUGAGCGAUCAUACUGACAACCCGCAGGUGGUAGAGCGCAUCACUAGUAAUGAUGAGGUCUUCGGUUCGACUCCGAAUGGAGGCA